rnacentral:rRNA from 1 species
AGUGAACGCUGGCGGUAGGCCUAACACAUGCAAGUCGAACGGCAGCACAGGAGAGCUUGCUCUCUGGGUGGCGAGUGGCGGACGGGUGAGGAAUACAUCGGAAUCUACUCUGUCGUGGGGGAUAACGUAGGGAAACUUACGCUAAUACCGCAUACGACCUACGGGUGAAAGCAGGGGACCUUCGGGCCUUGCCCGAUUGAAUGAGCCGACGUCGGAUGAGCUAGUUGGCGGGGUAAAGGCCCACCAAGGCGACGAUCCGUAGCUGGUCUGAGAGGAUGAUCAGCCACACUGGAACUGAGACACGGUCCAGACUCCUACGGGAGGCAGCAGUGGGGAAUAUUGGACAAUGGGCGCAAGCCUGAUCCAGCCAUACCGCGUGGGUGAAGAAGGCCUUCGGGUUGUAAAGCCCUUUUGUUGGGAAAGAAAUCCAGCUGGCUAAUACCCGGUUGGGAUGACGGUACCCAAAGAAUAAGCACCGGCUAACUUCGUGCCAGCAGCCGCCGUAA